GUGAAUCAUCGAAUCUUUGAACGCAAAUUGCACUCUCUUCGGAGAGAAUGCCUGUUUGUGGGUCAGCCUAAUAAAAAAUCGACAUAGUCGCUGUUUCGUGGUGAUAUUCGCUGGAAAUUGGCUCAUGUUAAACCUUUGGGUUUUAAGCGGCCUAAAAUUUUCUUUACGAUCUUACGAACGUUUCUACGAUUUACUUACAAGUUUAUGGUAUCGAUUUUUCUUAGUCGUGGACGUUGCAUCGGAUAACGUC
rnacentral:misc_RNA from 1 species